rnacentral:rRNA from 1 species
UAGGGAAUCUUCCACAAUGGACGCAAGUCUGAUGGAGCAACGCCGCGUGAGUGAAGGAGGCUUUCGGGUCGUAAAACUCUGUUAUUGAAGAAGAACGUGUGUGACAGUAACUGGUCAUGCAGUGACGGUAUUCAAUCAGAAAGUCACGGCUAACUACGUGCCAGCAGCCGCGGUAAUACGUAGGUGGCAAGCGUUGUCCGGAUUUAUUGGGCGUAAAGCGAGUGCAGGCGGUCUUUUAAGUCUGAUGUGAAAGCCUUCGGCUUAACCGAAGAAGGGCAUCGGAAACUGGGAGACUUGAGUGCAGAAGAGGAGAGUGGAACUCCAUGUGUAGCGGUGAAAUGCGUAGAUAUAUGGAAGAACACUAGUGGCGAAGGCGGCUCUCUGGUCUGUAACUGACGCUGAGGCUCGAAAGCGUGGGUAGCAAACAGGAUUAGAUACCCUGGUGUCCACGCCGUAAACGAUGAAUACUAAGUGUU